GACGAACGCUGGCGGCGUGCUUAACACAUGCAAGUCGAACGGAAAGGCCCUGCUUGCAGGGUGCUCGAGUGGCGAACGGGUGAGUAACACGUGGGUGAUCUGCCCCUUACUUUGGGAUAAGCCUGGGAAACUGGGUCUAAUACUGGAUAGGACCAUGCUGCAGGUGGUGUGGUGGAAAGAUUAGUUUCGGUAAGGGAUGAGCUCGCGGCCUAUCAGCUUGUUGGUGGGGUAAUGGCCUACCAAGGCGUCGACGGGUAGCCGGCCUGAGAGGGUGGACGGCCACAUUGGGACUGAGAUACGGCCCAGACUCCUACGGGAGGCAGCAGUGGGGAAUAUUGCACAAUGGGCGCAAGCCUGAUGCAGCGACGCCGCGUGGGGGAUGACGGCCUUCGGGUUGUAAACUCCUUUCAGCCAUGACGAAGCCCUUGUGGUGACGGUAGUGGUAGAAGAAGAACCGGCUAACUACGUG
rnacentral:rRNA from 1 species